GAGUGCACACGUUUUUUAUUAUAAUAGUUAUUAGUUGAUGAAUCGAAUGAUUAAUAUUCUGUCCAUUACGCUAUUGUAUGUAAAUAUAUGACGUGUGUAUAACUUAAAGAAAGAGAAGAAAAUACAAAAUUGGCAAUAACUGAAUCUAUAGAAUAUGUAGAAUUAGUUCAAAAUGAAACGAGUUCCCUAAAAAUUAGUUAUCAAUCGGAAAUCAGAAUAGAAGUUAUCUUAGAGAAUGGUUGAACAUGUUCAAGUGGUUGGCUUUUAGUGAUCUAAGAAAAGGCGAUUUUUGUAUACAUUGUGUGCUUUUUCAACCAAGUGGUGGCAGUCCAGGUUGUCAGCUAUUGAAAGCUUUCGUUACUGAACCAUUUUUAAAUUUUAAAAAAGGUGUUGAAUUAUUGAAAAAUCGUGGUUUGAAAAAUUACUAUAUAAACUUUGUGCUGAAAAAGGAUCUUCAUUUAUUCAAAAUUCUUAAUGCAGAAGAACCAAAUUUUAUAAAUAACAUUAUUAAUUGUACGGUACAAUUACUACACUAGUACUGCUAUCAUGAGAUUGGCUAGAAAAUGUGUUGCGGGAAAACGAUUUCAAUUGGGCUAUCUUGAUGCAAGAUCAAGACUAUAAGGGCCUUGUAAGACCAGGGUCAUAUU